GGGGGUGUAAAGGUUUCGACAGAGAGAUGAAAAGAUGUUAAAAGCGUGUGUGUAGCCCCAACCUACAUAAAAAUUGGGAACAAAAUAAAUGCAGAAGACAAUUCUGUUGGUGCUACAAAGUUAGCACUUGCUGCCUAACUUAUUGGCAGUCGGCAACUUCAAAUUUCUCACAGGUUUAAAGUUGUUGUCAUAAAAUGUGAGAUGACAAUGUAAAAUGUUUGUGUUUAUGUUGUCGAGAAUUAACAAACUAGCAUAAAAUCGUUUUGUUUGCUUUAGAUUUUGUGUGAAAAAACAAAACAAACUGGCACACGAAGAAAGAACAUAGUUUUGCUUUCUGGACAUGGGUUCAAUUCCCAUCACCUCCACCA
rnacentral:tmRNA from 1 species